CCUCUGCAGCGAAAAUCAGGUUUUCUAGUAUUUACUCUUACCGGAGUCUGUUGGCCAAACUAACCUCACCUAAAUCCCUACGAAGUUCCUGUAAGCAAGCCACUUACCUGUUACCUCACCUGGUGGUCUGAAGAAAUUUACUUGGUGAUUUGCUUCCUAGUAUUAAUUCAGGGGACGUGUUUGGCUGUGAGCAGCAGAGUUGGGAACAGCAUCAGCAUCCAUUUAUCCACAUCAUUACCCACAUCUACCACUGCUGCCACAGACACACAGAGCUCAGUCUCCAAUCUCCAGUCCACAAGAUGACACUUUGACCUCUGGGAAGUGCUGCCAUGUGAUUACAGAAGAGCAGCAGAGGAGAGAUGCAAAGACACGGCGAACAGUUGUUGUUAAGGGCGACCUUGUGGAAGGAGCAGGAAUCAAAGCUGGACUCAAGUUUGAAGUUCGAAUGAUCAGGAGCUUGAUAUGGCACAAUGUCAAAAGGCACAAGGUUCAUUUUUUCCAUUUGUGAUUUCCCAGCAUGGACGAAUACCAAACUCCAAACUCAUUCAAACUCGGUUCUGCUCUGCUGCACUUUGACUACUCUACAGAUCUGGAACUUGUUCCAGAAGUCUAAGCUGGAAGAGAACUGAAGCUGUGCUGCCAUGCUCCUUUUGGAAAGAAGAGGCUUUCUCGAGGCAACCCUUCCAAACAAGCCAUACGUCUUCAGUGUUUUUCCAAGUGGUCUGCUGGGAAUUUUAACAUUUAACACGGUACCAUUGCCCUCACACUAUGUUCAUAUUUUGUGGCUCUGCAUCUAUUUCCUACGUCUCAUGUAUAAUUGACCAGAAAAUUGUCAUCCCUCAUUCCUGUCAUAUCAUUUGCUCUUGCAGUCCAGACCUGUGUGUUCAGGAAAGCUUCAUACUCAUUAUUGAUUUUUAUUGCUAAUUCUUUUGCCUUUUAACAGAAUGAUUUCUUUUCUUAAACCAUCUGCUCUAAGCUACACAUGAAGAUCCAUGAGUUUGCACUGCAUGUGUUCUGUAUGAGUUUUAAGUAUUUUAACCAGAAUCUUGGAUCAUAGGAUUUAAAAGAAAAUCCCACCAGCGACUCGCUUAAACUUGAGGAAAAUACCAGCAGGAGCCCUUGCCACCUUGUAUUUCUAUAUUACUGCACUGACAGUGAACUAUUAAUACUUCUGUCUUUAAUAUUAAAUAAAACAUUUAGUAAAAAAUGUCCUUCAUCAUUAAAAGUAUGCUUCCUUUUCUGUGAAAAUACUAAUCUGUUAACUUAAUGACUGUUACUACAUCACUUUUUUGCACUCUGAUUCA